rnacentral:tRNA from 1 species
CGCGGCCUAAGAUUGUCGAAAAACGGAUUCAAAAUCCGCCGGGUGCAAGCCCUUGUCGGUUCGAGUCCGACCGCCGGUACCA